CUGCAAAAUGAUCAGACUGUCGAAGAUGGUGAUUUACAGCCAUUGGAGUCUGGAGAUCCUGGCAUGUGUGAAACUUAUGACUAGCAUAAAGAUCAACCGGUUUGGCCUUAAUCUUCAUAUCAUACCUCACUUGACCAAACAUAGCAGGUGAACACAUUUAACUGUGGCUGGAUGACUCAAAUCAUGUCAUUUAGGAUCUGAGUGUUUGUUUCAUGUAUUUCAGCGCAGACCGUAACAUAGCCCUAGCUUUCCUAUCUGGAGUGCAACCAGACAUAAUCAUUUCUUCAUACACUGCUGGAACCUGAAACGAAAAACAUGCAACUUGUACAUUCGAAUGAAACUUUUAAGCUGAAGGCCUGGCUGUUAUGCAUGCAAUGACGAUGCAAGGGUUAUCUAUGAUAAUAUAUGAAAUUCAUACCUUA
rnacentral:lncRNA from 1 species